rnacentral:rRNA from 1 species
UACGCGGGGGGCAAGCGUUGUUCGGAUUCAUUGGGCGUAAAGGGUGCGUAGGUGGCGCCGUAAGUCGGGUGUGAAAUUUCGGAGCUUAACUCCGAAACUGCAUUCGAUACUGCGGUGCUUGAGGACUGGAGAGGAGACUGGAAUUCAUGGUGUAGCAGUGAAAUGCGUAGAGAUCAUGAGGAAGACCAGUGGCGAAGGCGGGUCUCUGGACAGUUCCUGACACUGAGGCACGAAGGCCAGGGGAGCAAACGGG